UAAACUCAACAUAACCCCAUAAUUGGUUGUCACAUGUACAAACCUCUAAUACGGAAUCUGAAUAAAAUAUACAAGUCUCAUAGUAAAGUUCUAGAAUAGAACAGAACAAUAAAUAUAGAUAACUUGAGGGCACGUCUGGAAUGAACCGCUACCUCUCAAGUAAGUCUGGAAGCUCUAAUCUGAAGAUGAGUAAUAAGCCGGAUCUGAUAGAGCUGUCAACCUACACAACUGUGUAGAAGCAAGGGUGAGUACCAAAAGCAACAAGUACUCGCAAGUAACACUAAACUAAGCUAAACUAGCAGCUACAAACAACUCCUUUCAAUCCCAACCGAACCACCGAAACUUCAUUCUAACAGCGAACCAACAACCUAUACUACACAAUUCAUAAUCAACAGAUAUAUCCAACAGUGUCUCAACGUCAAUCUCAUAUCCUCAUGUAAGAGCAAAUAGAUCAUAUAUCACAUGAAGAGGGGCAAAUGAGUAAAAUCCAUACACCACAGACAAAGAUGAAGUCAAAUGCAAUAAUGAUGUCAUGUAGUUGUAAUGCAUGUCUGUCCUAAGAUACACAUCUGUUGACACAAUCAGACCGCGCUGAAUACUCAAAUCAAAACCCAUGGGGCCCACACAUGGACCAUGUAUCACCGCCGGAACCAGAUCCCAUCGGCAUCCAAAUCGCUAGCCGGAGCUAGUCCAUCUCAUAUAUCUCUAGCCGGAGCUAGUCUCAACUGUGUCUCAUAUCCAUCCAUCCUCAUAUCAGUGUCUCAGAACUCAUGCAACAGAUAGUUCACACAUGGGAUGAAUAAUGAAUAUGCACAUGUCAUCAAUCACAAUCAUAUCACGAUCACAUCAUAAUAUUACACAUCAUUUGUCUGGGAUGAAUAAUGAAUAUGCACAUGUCAUCAAUCACAAUCAUAUUACGAUCACAUCAUAGUAUUACACAUCAUCUGUUUCAACAUCAAUGUCUGUAUCAAUCAUAGCCUACUCAUGCUCUUCUAUCCCCUCAAUAUCAGUUAUCACAUGACUUAUUCAACAAAUUCAAGUCACAUAUAACACAUUUAGCUCGUUUUAUUCCCCAUCUUUCAAUUACAACAAUUUCAAUCAACAAAUAAAACUCAUCCUCAAUCCCCAUUACUCCCCAACACAAUUAGGAAAGUAGUCAUGUGUAGUCUAAGAGUUUAACAAAGUUUAGAAGUCACUUGCCUCAAAACACUUCAACUAGUAACUCAAAUUUGAGUUUUACCCUUCCGAGCACGCUCCAAAUCACCACAAUCCAAUGAAUUCCUUGCGAAAACCCACUUGAAAUCACCUAUUUUCGAUCUCUCAAAGUCUAAAAAUGGAGAAAUGGGUAUUUUUCAAGUUAGGGGAAAAUGGCUACUGG
rnacentral:lncRNA from 1 species